rnacentral:rRNA from 1 species
UACGGGGGGGGCAAGCGUUGUUCGGAAUUACUGGGCGUAAAGGGCUCGUAGGCGGCCAACUAAGUCAGACGUGAAAUCCCUCGGCUUAACCGAGGAACUGCGUCUGAUACUGGAUGGCUUGAGGUUGGGAGAGGGAUGCGGAAUUCCAGGUGUAGCGGUGAAAUGCGUAGAUAUCUGGAGGAACACCGGUGGCGAAGGCGGCAUCCUGGACCGAUUCUGACGCUGAGGAGCGAAAGCCAGGGGAGCAAACGGG